AGAAGGUGAGCAAGAGCAUAAAGGAUAAUGGAGGAUAAGAAGAGGCUUCUUCCUUCUAUCACCUUCAGAUCCUAUCCCUUCUUCUGCUAAAUUCUCCAUAAUUCUAAUGAUUUCACUUGACUUUCAGGCUACAUCCAGCCAAUGCCAAGACAGUGGAGUGGGACUGGAAACUGCUCACCUAUGUCAUGGAGGAAGAGGGACAAACUCUGCCUGGGCGAGUCCUUUUCCUGCGUUAUGUCGUUCAGACCCUAGAAGAUGACUUCCAGCAGACCCUGAGGAGGCAACGGCAGCACCUGCAGCAAUCCAUUGCAAACAUGGUGCUGUCCUGUGACAAGCAGCCCCACAAUGUCAGGGAUGUUAUCAAGUGGCUGGUCAAAGCAGUAACUGAAGAUGGAUUGACUCAGCCCCCAAAUGGAAAUCAAACGUCUUCAGGAACAGGAAUCUUGAAGGCUGGCAGUAGCCACCCUUCUUCCCAGCCCAACCUGACAAAGAACACCAAUCAGCUGUAAGGGGCAGGCAGUUAUCUUUCUUGGGGUUUAGUGUUUUAGAGAGAACAACACCAAUCCCUAAGAGCAGCUUCCCCCAAAUUAACAAGAUCUUAGAACAUAGGGUGAUGCUUAUUCAAGACUUAGUUUAACUAAAGGCUAAAUUUCUAAUUUCAAAGGUAGAACAAAACCAGGUGCUUUCACCCCUAGAAUGAAUAGGACUUCACAAAGUGAAUACGAAGUCACAACGCAGAUGCAAAACAAAUGCUAGAGGACACUGCCCUUCACUUCCUGCAUUUCAGGAGACAGUAAAGGGUUACAGCUCCUCAUCACUUCAGAUAUCCAUUGCCAUAGAGAAGGAGUGGUGUGUAGUGUGAGUUUUGUUAACCUCGAGUCCUCAA
rnacentral:sRNA from 1 species